rnacentral:rRNA from 1 species
UACGUAGGGGGCAAGCGUUGUCCGGAAUCAUUGGGCGUAAAGAGCGUGUAGGCGGCUCGGUAAGUCCGCUGUGAAAGUCCAGGGCUCAACCCUGGAAUGCCGGUGGAAACUGUCGAGCUAGAGUCCGGAAGAGGCGAGUGGAAUUCCUGGUGUAGCGGUGAAAUGCGCAGAUAUCAGGAGGAACACCAAUGGCGAAGGCAGCUCGCUGGGACGGUACUGACGCUGGAGACGCGAAAGCGUGGGUAGCAAACAGG